AGUUGGCGGCGGAGAUGGGCGGAGGCUUGGAGCCUGCGCCGUAGGGGGGCUGCUGCGAGACUCGGGCGCCUUCGGAGAGGGGUGGCGGCCCCGGGCGGCCCCUGGCUGAGAGAGGCCUGCGCGCCGCGGGGAGCCCCCGAGCCGCCGCGUCCCGGCGCGCCGUGGGGCGGGGAGCCCAGCCGAGGCCACAGCGCCCGUACCUGGCGCCCGCGGGAGUCGAAGAACUCGGCGGCCCCAGGGGAGCCGCAGCAGUUGGAGGAAGUCGAGGACCCGAAGAGGGGAAGCAUCGUUAAGGCAAGUGGUCGGAAGGGCAAGAAGAUUGGAGCCUGGACAAUCCUUAAAAGACCCUGAAAAAAUUGAUCCCUGAUACAGAAAUUGCACAAAUUUAAACCUUCCUCAUCUAGUGAACCAAAGGACUGUACAGGUCUGAGUCAAUUCCAGGUGUUGCUUAGUGUGCUGCUGAGUGGCCUGGGGGAAUGGUGUUUGCCCACAAGAAGUGAGAUGUAGACCACAUGAAUGGAAUAUCCACUGGGUCUCUGCCCAGCUCUGGAUGGGGGGCUAGAGGUGCCAGACAGGGGAAAAGGCCAAGGGGAGGGAACUAUUCUCGAUCUGUAUUUAAAAGUAUGCUUUUCUCUCCUCCCUAUCCUCGAUAUGUAUUAAAAAGUAUGCUUUUCUGUUUGCUUUC
rnacentral:lncRNA from 1 species